rnacentral:rRNA from 1 species
GAAUUUUGGACAAUGGGCGAGAGCCUGAUCCAGCAAUGCCGCGUGCAGGAUGAAGGCCUUCGGGUUGUAAACUGCUUUUGUACGGAACGAAAAGCUUUGGGUUAAUACCCUGGAGUCAUGACUGUCCCGUAAGACUAACCACCGGCCACCUACACGCCGGCAACCGCGGUAAAACGUAGGGUGCAAGCGUUAAUCGGGAUUACUGGGCGUAAAGCGUGCGCAGGCGGUUUUGUAAGACAGAGGUGAAAUCCCCGGGCUCAACCUGGGAACUGCCUUUGUGACUGCAAGGCUAGAGUACGGCAGAGGGGGGUGGAAUUCCGCGUGUAGCAGUGAAAUGCGUAGAUAUGCGGAGGAACACCGAUGGCGAAGGCAACCCCCUGGGCCUGUACUGACGCUCAUGCACGAAAGCGUGGGGAGCAAAC